AUGAACGCUGGCGGCGUGCCUAAUCCAUGCAAGUCGAGCGAACAGAUGAGGAGCUUGCUCCUCUGACGUUAGCGGCGGACGGGUGAGUAACACGUGGAUAACCUACCUAUAAGUCUGGGAUAACUUCGGGAAACCGGAGCUAAUACCGGAUAAUAUAUUGAACCGCAUGGUUCCAUAGUGAAAGACGGCUUUGCUGUCACUUUUAGAUGGAUCCGCGCCGCAUUAGCUAGUUGGUAAGGUAACGGCUUACCAAGGCAACGAUGCGUAGCCGACCUGAGAGGGUGAUCGGCCACACUGGAACUGAGACACGGUCCAGACUCCUACGGGAGGCAGCAGUAGGGAAUCUUCCACAAUGGGCGAAAGCCUGACGGAGCAACGCCGCGUGGGUGAUGAAGGUCUUCGGAUCGUAAAACUCUGUUAUUAGGGAAGAACAAAUGUGUAAGUAACUAUGCACGUCUUGACGGUACCUAAUCAGAAAGCCACGGCUAACUACGUG
rnacentral:rRNA from 1 species